rnacentral:lncRNA from 1 species
GGAGAUGAGGGUAACUGUGGGAUCUGCUUCCCGCCUUUGACUGUGUGCUUCCCUGGCAUCAAAUUUAAGGUGUUGGGUUUGGCAGCAAGCACCGUUACCCUUUGAGUCAUCGAACCUCACAAGCCCCAGUGUGCAUGUUUUUAAGCUUCCUAGGGACAUUUAUACAGGAUUGCAAUGUGGAGUUGUGCUAGUUGUUUUUUCCCCCACACGAAUCACCUGAGAAGAAUCCUUAAUUGAGGAAUUGCCUCCACCAGGUUGGACCAUGAACAUCCAUGGAGCAUCUUGCUCAAUAAUUGAUGUGGGAAGGCUCAGCCCACUGUGGGCGGUGCCACUCCUGAGCAGGUCGUCCUGGGUUACAUAAGAAAGCAAGCUGAGCAAGCCAUGAAAAAGCAAGCCAGUAAGCAGUGUUCCUCCAUUGGUUUCUGCUUCAACUCCUACCUGAGAUUCCUUCAGUAAUGAUCAUGAACCAUAACCUUUAAGGUAAAAUAAUCCCUUCCCCCCCCUAAGUUCCCUUUAGUAGUGGAGUUUAUCACAGCAGUAUAAAGCAGCAGGCUAGGUCACAUUUUAAACUCCUGAGCACCCAUCUCCCAGCUUAAAGAGGGAUUGAAUGUUGCUGCUAUGACAAUGCUCAGUCCCUUUAGCACCCACUAAAGCAGUGGUUCUCAACCUUCCUAAUGCUGUGACCCUUUAGUACAGUUCUUCAGGUUGUGGUGACCCCCAAGCAUAAAUUUAUUUUUGUUGCUACUUUGUAUCUUAAGUUUGCUACUGCUCUGAAUUGUAACGUAAAUCUGUGUUUUCCAAUGUUUUUUGUUUUUGUUUUUGUGGGUUGAGCCCCACAGGCUGAGAAUGACUGCACUAAAGCAAUACCUUCUCUGAGGCCUGUGUUUCAAGGCUUUGUUUAUGAUCACGAAUCCAAGGACUAACCAGGCACAACUCUACUGAGAUUUUGAGACCAGAUGAAAUGACGCCUCUGUUUCUCCUGGCAUGACUUUGUCUGGAAAAGCUCUUCUCCUCUCUCCUUUCCUACUGAACUCCUAUGGCUCACAACUACUGGAGUCCUCAAAAUGUCAUCUUCAGGCUGUGUUACAUGCAUGGGCAAAUGGUUUCUUGUGAUUUCCUUUUCUCCCCAAAGAAUCCAAUAUUACUAUAUCUAUUUUCGGGUUUGCUGGUAAUGUCUGUUCUCUAAGGUUUUAUCAUCAUCCGGUUGCCAAACUGGGCAAAUCAUCAAAAUGCUGAGGAGAGAUUCAAGCAAUUGGAGAUGCUUGGCUAUCUUUUGUGGACGUUUAGGGGUCAGGACAGGGAUAUGGAACCAUAAAGGGCACCCUGGAUAGACCCAAGGGUUCCCUAGGGAGAUACAGGCACUGCCUGGAGAAAUCCUCUCCAAUCCUUGAGCAAUUGUUUCAACUAGCAACAGGGAGGGGGUGGCUAAAGCAAAGGAGGCCUCUGAUCAAGGAGUUUCACCUUUUAUUUAGACAAGGAGUAAGCUAGAGAGAAUAGUUGCACAGAGUGAUGGCCAAUGUGAGGGGCUGGCGAGACACCUCAGGGGUUAAGAUGACAGACUGCUCUUGCAGAGGAUACAAGUCUGUCCUCCAACACAUGUCAGAUGGCUCCCAAGAACUUGUAACUCCAGAUCCAGGAGAUCCAACAUUCUCUUUUGGUUUCCACAGCCACUACACUCAAGGGCACACACACACACACACACACACACACACACACACACACACACACACACACCAAUAAACAAAUCUUUAAAAACUAUGGUCUAUUAUAUAUUUAACAAUUGCUAAAACAGUUGUAAAUGGCUUCUGAACAAAAUAGGGUAAGUAGCUGAAGUUAUAGAUUUGUUGAUUAGUUUAAUUUAGUCAUAAUGUAUUAUAAACACAAAAUUGGACCCCAUAAAUAUACAGAAUACAAAUAUAUAUGUAAAUUAUUUGUCAAAUGAAAUUAAGAUAAACAGGCUAGGGUUGAGCUGUGUACUGGAGUCACGGUUUGGUGUGAAUGUAUUUAGGGGUUACCUGAAAGGUCAACAUGCUGAAAAGGGAAUUGUGGAAAGGAGGAGCAAAGUAAUGGAUAAGUGGGCAGUUGUUUGUGCAACUGGAGCAGUUCGCCUGGCUGAUGAUGAUACAGCAAAGAGUGAUUCAUAUCAGAGACAAGUCAUGUAAUACCAGAUAACUCAAUUCCUUUAUCCACUAAUCUAUUUGAAAUUUUUGGCUGCCAAGUGGGGUUUUCAUCCUUAAUCUCUUUUUUUCUCUCAUUUACCCUCAACAAAAUAAUAUUUCUGGGCUGGAGAUGGUUCUGUUGGUAACCUAGUUGUUAUGUAAGAACAAGAUGUGAGUUUGGACUCCCAGCACCCACAGAAAAAGAUGGGUGGGACAGUGCUGGUUUGUAACCCUAGAAUGGAGGCCUUCCAGGCUAGCCAAUUUGCUGGCCACAGGUUCAGUCAGAGACCAUGUCUUAAAAAUUGAGGAGAGUGACAGUGACAGAGGAAGACAUUGGAUGUUGACCUCUGGCCUCUAAAUGCACAACACAUACAAUACUUCCAGUAUUCUAGUAUUUUUAUUUGGAAGAAAGUUGAAGGAACAUGUGGAAAAGAUAACUGGAUUACUUUUUAUAGGAA